rnacentral:rRNA from 1 species
CUCUCGGCAAUGGAUAUCUCGGCUCUCGCAUCGAUGAAGAGCGCAGCGAAAUGCGAUACGUGGUGCGAAUUGCAUAAUCCCGCGAACCA